CUGUGGGAAGGUUGUUAAAGGGUGGGGACCAGGGUUCGAGGAACGCCUGGCGCACCAAUAACCUACUGGUAGAUUUGAAUGAAUAGUUUCAUUUCCACAGUGAGGGGUUAGGAUUGAUGCCAUGCAGGGCCAGCUUAGGGCCUAUGGGGGCAAGCUAGCGGGGGCUAGUGGAGUCCACGGGAUGGGUUGUUACAGCGAGCCUUCGGAGUUCUAAGAUUAUCAGUUUACCUACCUUAGAGCGUUGAUUACUUGGGAUAAUCACUUCAAUGUGGAAUAUGUAAGGGUCUAAUGAGAAAUCUUUCGUGUCAAACCUUUAUAAGUGGACUUUAUUGUGAUGAAGGUUGCAACAUUGGUGUCCAUAUACUCAUUCAGACAUACAUGAUAGAGACAACAAGAAAACAGCAAGUAUAUGAGGGGAAGAGCCGAGAGCAACAACACCAACAAGUCGACAUCAACUUGUACUCAGCACCAACAACCCGAUAGCAACUUCAAUCUUGUAGCACCAACAUCAUCAACUUCAGGACAUGUUUCUUCAGGAGGAUGAAAUUACUCUAUUCUCCUUAAGUAGGUGACCAUCAUAGGGGGACAUGGAGUGUAGCUAGGAAUGAUCAUUUAUUCAAAAUUCGAAAUGAAAAAAAAAAAAAAUUAUCUCUUCCUUCACAAAAAUACGAAACCAUUUAGGACCACAUAUUCAGUCUCCUGAUAACAAUUACUCCUUCCCCUACUGUAGCUAAAGUCGGGUAGUUGUGAAAUUUUGUAUACGAAACCCAAUCUCCUGUACUUGACACAAUUGUCCCGAUUUCCAUCGACCUAUGAUAUUCCUAUCGGUCGGUGUGUUCAUCAAUUAGUUGAAGGUGAGAGAAACAGCAAAUUCUUGUCUUCAUAGUUGGCUUUCCCUCGCCAAUACUGUUACUGUCUAACCUCUGUUCUAAUUGCGUUUCGACCUACUGUUACAGGGAAAUUAUGUCGAUUACAGACCUACCGACUCGUCUGUUCAAGGAAGGGGCGGAGCCCAAUGGUGAAGUGUUAAUUCCUUUCGCACACUUAUAUUUACCCAAAGAACGGUCUCUGAUUGUUAGACACCUAUGUGGAAGAGAAAUAUUUGUUCUGCCGAAAAUAGUCUAACAAUAGCGUGGUCCCACAUUUCUGUUAAACAUAACGUUUAUUAACAUUACACAUAGUUCCGUAAAUCACAUUAUCUCCCACAA